CAGCCGCCGCGGUAAUACCGGCGGCCCGAGUGGCGGUCACUAUUAUUGGGCUUAAAGCGUCCGUAGCCGGGUUGGGAAGGCCUCCGGGAAAUCUGGCCGCUUAAAGGUCAGAAUGCCGGAGGAUACUCCCAGCCUAGGGAGCGGGAGAGGCCGAGGGUAUUCCCGGAGUAGGGGUGAAAUCCUAUAAUCCCGGGAGGACCACCUGUGGCGAAGGCGCUCGGCUGGAACGCGUCCGACGGUGAGGGACGAAGGCCAGGGGAGCAAACCGGAUUAGAUACCCGGGUAGUCCUGGCUGUAAACGAUGCGGACUUUGUGUCGGACAAGCUAUGAGCUUGUCCGGUGCCGGAGGGAAACCGUUAAGUCCGCCGCCUGGGGAGUACGGCCGCAAGGCUGAAACUUAAAGGAAUUGGCGGG
rnacentral:rRNA from 1 species